rnacentral:rRNA from 1 species
AUGUGGACCUGUCUUCGUCAGCGCUAUGAGCCCUCUGGUGAUGCCUUAUACCUUUCUGUGGUUCGUCAGGAGCAUGCUCUUCAGCAGGGUGACUCUACUGUUGAUGACUUCUAUGCACAGAGUUCUACUAUCUGGCGCCAGCUUGAUUCUCUCCGCAGUGCUGGUUGUCGUACUUGCCCCUGCUGCCAGGCCGUCCAGGCCAAUUUGGAGUUUCAUCGCGUCUACGAGUUCCUGUCUCGGCUCCGUAAGGAGUUUGAGCCCCGGCAUGCUCAGUUGUUUGCUCGUGACCGUAUUUCUCUCAUGGAGGCGCUUUCAGAGAUUCGUGCUGAGGAGACUCGCCUACGUGGUGCUGGUUUGCUGGAGGUUCCCUCUGUGCUCGCUACUCGGGCUUCUUUCACUCCACCUGCUGCACCGCCCCAUUCUCGCUCGAGUGCUCCGCCGCUCUUGCCCACUCCUUCUGGAGGCUCAGGUCGCCCCCGUCCACAUUGUGACUACUGCAACAAUGAUGGUCAUAUUGAGUCCCAGUGCUACACAAAGCGGAAACACCUGUGCAAGGCGCGAUCAUCCUCCUCAGGGACUUCGUCAUCUUCCUCGCCAGCUUCAGCCAUUGCUUUGACUGAGCAGGAUAUUCUGAGACUUAAGCGUCUGCUCGCGGCUUCAGGUUCUUCCCCGACGGGUACUGCUGGUUCUGUGACUGAUGCUUCCCGCACUGAGCACCCGCCCUCUACAUAG